AAUGAGUUGAAAUAAAAGUUAAAAAUUAAAUAAAAUAUUAUUAAAAUAUAUUCUUUUAAUAUUAUUAGUGUUUUGUAAUUUAAAAAAAUUAAAUUAUUUAUUACGUAAAAUUUGUAAAAAUCAUUAAAAUCAAACUGGUUCGGCGCAUCACAAUCUGUGACAGAUUUUCGUAUUCUGAAUGGGACCCCAUAAAAACCAACACCCAAAUAUGACAGACAACACAUGUUCACGGGCACUCGAAUUCACUUUUCCAAAUGAGCACCAAGACUGGAAAAAAGAGUACUUGAGAUCAUCGGAGAACUAUAUAUUUACCGUAAUCAUUGCUAUAUUAGCCAAUAUCUUCUAUUUCUUUCUUAUUUGGUUUAAGAAAAACUAUAAUUAAUUAUGUCUAAACUUGUCAAUUUUCUUUUAUUCAACCACAACCAUCAUUUUUUCCAGCAGAGAGAGAGAGAGAGAGAAGAGAGAAGAGAGGGAGGGGGGGCACAUGCAUAAAAAGUGAAGGGUCACUCGUAAGUGAGCCAAAAAGGGAGAAGGCAAAGCCAUGAACGUGGUAAAGAGGUUAUUUUAAAAGGAGUAAGAGAAUAAAUGUGGUCUAUACCAAACCCUUUUCUAUCCACGUUCUUUCUCCGCAGACCCAUUUCUUUCUUCUCUUGAAUGAUGGCUGUUCUGUUACUGCAUAGCUGUUUAAAAAUCAUCACAUAAAUUAGUCCCUACCAAGAGCCAGAUGGGUUAAUGUUGGUUGAUUGGUUUGGGCUGGAAAUUACCACCUCAACAAAAUUUAGCACCUAAAGGUGGCUACUUUUAAAAGCGCUAAUAGGCCAACCUUGUUUUGGCUCCGUAGACAGUAAGGUCCAUUCUUUUGAUUUCUUUAAGUUUGUUUCUUCAGACAAGGUAUAGUAUUCAUUAAGUUAGGCAUCAGGGUCAUGAACAUCAAAACGAAAAAAGAGAAGUGCCACUGGGAUUAUCAUAUAACUUUGUCUUUACAUUUUCUAUUGGGUAUAAAGCUAGCUGGGUUGAACUGCAUUCUCUAAAUAAUGCAUUGAGAAGUGUGGAUGUCUUGGCAGGUAAGCUAUAGAGUCGGCUAAAAUAAUGGCCACUCUUUUGUCACAGGACCAAAAUUUGAGGCUUCCUUUCUACUAACAGGUUAGCUUGCAUUGCAGCAAGGGUUGUGAUAUGUGAAUCCACUCGUCAUUGCAACAAAAGAAUACUACCAUCAAGGAUCUUGAUGCAAACUC